AUUGAACGCUGGCGGCAGGCCUAACACAUGCAAGUCGAGCGGAGCGGCGGACGGGGGAGUAAUGCCUAGGAAUCUGCAUGGUAGUGGGGGAUAACGUCCGGAAACGGGAGCUAAUACCGCAUACUAUCAGAUGAGGCUAGGUCGGAUUAGCUAGUUGGUGGGGUAAAGGCCUACCAAGGCGAAGAUCCGUAACUGGUCUGAGAGGAUGAUCAGGCACACUGGAACUGAGACACGGUCCAGACUCCUCCGGGAGGCAGCAGUGGGGAAUAUUGCACAAUGGGCGAAAGCCUGAUCCAGCCAUGCCGCGUGUGUGAAGAAGGUCUUCGGUUUGUAAAGCACUUUAAGUUGGGAGGCGUUACCAACAGAAUAAGCACCGGCUAACUCCGUGCCAGCAGCCGCGGUAAUUC
rnacentral:rRNA from 1 species